UCCUUGCCAGCACCCGACCGAAAUAAACAAACAAAGAACACAGAGUAAAUGAAAGGUCUGUGAACUUUUCCCUUUCUCUUCAGCAGUGAGAUGAGAUGAUGUUUUCGCUGCUGCUACUACUACUACUGUUGAGGAGAGGAGUCAGGAGCUGCGUGGGGGAAUAUUUGACAGUUUGAGGAAAAGCUUGUAGCCAAACGUGAAGAACGCCUACAAAAAUAAUAUUUUGGGGGAAAAAGGAACAUUGGCUAUCUAACUGGGAGUCUCGUGAGUGAAAACAUCUGAAGCUCAAAGGUGAAAAUCAUCACUCCCCAAUCAAUCAUCAAUCAGAAGACACACCUCCUAUUUCCUGACCGAUCACAGUUCCUUCCCCAUGGUUUAAAAACCCCAUCAUUUGUUUGUUCUAGAGCUCAGCUCAAUCUCUCUGUAAUGCCAUGUCUGUAGGUCUCUGUGUUUCACUCUCGCUUUGUGUCUUAACCUCUCUUUUGUUUAAAGCACUUCAUAGCACUUUGUCAUCACCUGUGAGUAUUAUUUUUGGUUAUGGUAUUUGUUUGUUGCUGGUGGGAAAAGGGGGAAACCAAGACAAGUCGCCCAUGGGCAUACACUACCCGUAGGUGAACUUUGUUAAAUACACUAGUUAGAACUGGGCGGACCACCCACUGUAUUUUUGGUUAGUUAGUUAGCUGUUAAAGUAGGCUAGUCUAGCUUAGGGGUGUUUUUUGAAUACUUAUAUUUUCUUUCCUUGUGUUUAUAAAUAAACCUGGAGUUUGACGGUA